rnacentral:rRNA from 1 species
AUUGAACGCUGGCGGAAUGCUUUACACAUGCAAGUCGAACGGCAGCACGGACUUCGGUCUGGUGGCGAGUGGCGAACGGGUGAGUAAUGUAUCGGAACGUGCCCAGUCGUGGGGGAUAACGUAGUGAAAAUUACGCUAAUACCGCAUACGAUCUAUGGAUGAAAGCGGGGGAUCGCAAGACCUCGCGCGAUUGGAGCGGCCGAUAUCAGAUUAGGUAGGUGGUGGGGUAAAGACCCACCAAGCCAACGAUCUGUAGCUGGUCUGAGAGGACGACCAGCCACACUGGAACUGAGACACGGUCCAGACUCCUACGGGAGGCAGCAGUGGGGAAUUUUGGACAAUGGGCGAAAGCCUGAUCCAGCCAUUCCGCGUGCAGGGUGAAGGCCCUCGGGUUGUAAACUGCUUUUGUACAGAACGAAAAGGUUUCUACUAAUACUAGGAGCUCAUGACGGUACUGUAAGAAUAAGCACCGGCUAACUACGUGCCAGCCGCCGCUGUAA